UCCGGUGACGAUGGCGGAGGGGUUACACCUGUUCCCAUCCCGAACACAGAAGUAAAGUCCUCCAGCGCUGAUGGUACUUGGCGGGAAGCUGCCUGGGAGAGUAAGACGUUGCCGGUU
rnacentral:rRNA from 1 species